rnacentral:rRNA from 1 species
AAUAAGGGCGUAUGGCGGAUGCCUAGGCUCUCAGAGACGAUGAAGGACGCGAUAAGCUGCGAAAAGUUACGGGGAGAAGCACAUAUUUUAUGAUCCGUAAAUAUCCGAAUGGGGCAACCCGGCAUGCUGAAGGUAUGUCACCUCGCAAGAGGGGUAAACCCGGUGAACUGAAACAUCUAAGUAACCGGAGGAAGAGAAAACAAUAGUGAUUCCGUUAGUAGUGGCGAGCGAACGCGGAUUAGCCCAAACCUACUUUGUUACGGCAAAGUAGGGGUUGUAGGACCACGAUAUUCGAUGCUAAGUGAAAUAGAACUGUUUGGAAAGACAGACCAAAGAGGGUGAUAGUCCCGUAUAUGUAAGCGAAGUUAUUGAUAGUGGUAUCCUGAGUAGUGCGGGACACGAGUAAUCCUGUAUGAAUCCACCGGGACCAUCCGGUAAGGCUAAAUACUCCUGAGAGACCGAUAGUGAACUAGUACCGUGAGGGAAAGGUGAAAAGAACCCUAAGUAAGGGAGUGAAAGAGAUCCUGAAACCGUACGCCUACAAGCGGUCGGAGCACAUUUACUGUGUGACGGCGUGCCUUUUGCAUAAUGAGCCUACGAGUUACUGUUUCUAGCAAGGUUAAAUGAUUAAGUCAUGGAGCCGGAGCGAAAGCGAGUCUGAAUAGGGCGCAUAGUUAGUAGUAGUAGACGCGAAACCGAGUGAUCUACCCAUGGGCAGGUUGAAGCUGUGGUAACACACAGUGGAGGACCGAACCAGUUGACGUUGAAAAGUCUUUGGAUGACCUGUGGGUAGGGGUGAAAGGCCAAUCAAACUCGGAAAUAGCUCGUACUCCCCGAAAUGCAUUUAGGUGCAGCGUUGUGGUAGAGUUUUAUAGAGGUAGAGCUACUGAUUGGAUGCGGGGGCUUCACCGCCUACCAAUUCCUGACAAACUCCGAAUGCUAUAAAAUAUACACAGCAGUGAGGGCAUGGGUGCUAAGGUCCAUGUCCGAGAGGGAAAGAACCCAGACCAUCAGCUAAGGUCCCCAAAUAUAUGUUAAGUUGAAUAAACGAGGUGAAACUGCUUAGACAGCUAGGAUGUUGGCUUGGAAGCAGCCAUUCAUUUAAAGAGUGCGUAACAGCUCACUAGUCGAGCGGUUUUGCAUGGAUAAUAAUCGGGCAUAAACAUAUUACCGAAGCUAUGGAUUUGUAUUAUAUACAAGUGGUAGGGGAGCAUUGUAAUCUGCGCAGAAGGUGUACUGUAAGGUAUGCUGGAGUGAUUACAAAAGAAAAUGUAGGCAUAAGUAACGAUAAUGCGGGCGAGAAACCCGCACACCGAAAGACUAAGGUUUCCUCAGCGAUGCUAAUCAGCUGAGGGUUAGUCGGGUCCUAAGGCGAAUCCGAACGGAGUAGUCGAUGGAUAACAGGUUAAUAUUCCUGUACUUCUUAUAAUUGCGAUGGGGUGACGGAGUAUUGAAAGCACCGCGUACUGACGGAAUAGUACGUUGAAGAAUGUAGCUAUAGAACCAGAUUAAGAGUUAGGUUUUGGCGAAGUUCGAUAGUACCACAACUCUUCGGACGAGUGGAUAGUGUGCCUAAAGGCUUCCAAGAAAAACCUCUAAGCUUCAGAUUAUAAGAACCCGUACCGUAAACCGACACAGGUAGUUGGGAUGAGAAUUCUAAGGUGCUCGAGAGAUUCAUGGCUAAGGAACUAGGCAAAAUAGACCCGUAACUUCGGGAGAAGGGUCGCCCAUCUAACGAUGGGCCGCAGUGAAAAGGUCCAGGCGACUGUUUAUCAAAAACACAGGGCUUUGCUAAAUUGAAAGAUGAUGUAUAAGGCCUGACACCUGCCCGGUGCUGGAAGGUUAAGUGGAGGGUUUAGCUUCGGCGAAGAUCUGAAAUGAAGCCCCAGUAAACGGCGGCCGUAACAAUAACGGUCCUAAGGUAGCGAAAUUCCUUGUCGGGUAAGUUCCGACCUGCACGAAUGGCGUAACGACGGCCACACUGUCUCCACCCGAGACUCAGUGAAAUUGAAAUCGCAGUGAAGAUGCUGCGUACCCGCGGCUAGACGGAAAGACCCCGUGAACCUUUACUAUAGCUUCACAGUGGACUCUGAUAUUACUUGUGUAGGAUAGCUGGGAGGCUUUGAAGCGUGGACGCUAGUCUGCGUGGAGCCAAUCUUGAAAUACCAGCCUGGUAAUAUUGGGGUUCUAACUCAGGUCCCUCAUCGGGAUCGAGGACACUGUGUGGUGGGUAGUUUGACUGGGGCGGUCUCCUCCCAAAGAGUAACGGAGGAGCACGAAGGUUGGUUAAUCAUGGUCGGAAAUCAUGAGGUUAGUGUAAUGGCACAAACCAGCUUGACUGCGAGACGGACAUGUCGAGCAGGUACGAAAGUAGGUCAUAGUGAUCCGGUGGUUCUGUAUGGAAGGGCCAUCGCUCAACGGAUAAAAGGUACUCCGGGGAUAACAGGCUGAUACCGCCCAAGAGUUCAUAUCGACGGCGGUGUUUGGCACCUCGAUGUCGGCUCAUCACAUCCUGGGGCUGAAGCCGGUCCCAAGGGUAUGGCUGUUCGCCAUUUAAAGUGGUACGCGAGCUGGGUUUAGAACGUCGUGAGACAGUUCGGUCCCUAUCUGCCGUGGGCGUUUGAGAUUUGAGAAGAGUUGCUCCUAGUACGAGAGGACCGGAGUGAACGAACCUCUGGUGUUCCGGUUGUCAUGCCAAUGGCAUUGCCGGGUAGCUAUGUUCGGACAGGAUAACCGCUGAAAGCAUCUAAGCGGGAAGCCCCCUUCAAGAUGAGAUCUCACUGGUACUUUAAGUACCCUGUAGGGCCCAGUAAGACUA